CGUGUAGGCGGCCGAUUAAGCCAGGUGUAAAUGUUACAGCUCAACUGUAAACCCGCAUCUGGAACUGGUCGGCUAGAGGACGAGAGAGGAAAGUGGAAUUCCUAGUGUAGCGGUGGAAUGCGUAGAUAUUAGGAGGAACACCAGUGGCGAAGGCGGCUUUCUGGCUCGUACCUGACGCUGAGGCGCGAAAGCGUGGGGAGCAAACA
rnacentral:rRNA from 1 species